UACGAAGGGGGCUAGCGUUGCUCGGAAUCACUGGGCGUAAAGCGCACGUAGGCGGAUCUUUAAGUCAGGGGUGAAAUCCUGGAGCUCAACUCCAGAACUGCCUUUGAUACUGGGGAUCUCGAGUCCGGAAGAGGUGAGUGGAACUCCGAGUGUAGAGGUGAAAUUCGUAGAUAUUGGGAAGAACACCGGUGGCGAAGGCGGCGCUCUGGACCGAGACUGACGCUGAGGCGCGAAGGCGUGGGGAGCAAACAGG
rnacentral:rRNA from 1 species